GACGAACGCUGGCGGCGUGCCUAAUACAUGCAAGUAGAACGCUGAAGAGAGGAGCUUGCUCUUCUUGGAUGAGUUGCGAACGGGUGAGUAACGCGUAGGUAACCUGCCUGGUAGCGGGGGAUAACUAUUGGAAACGAUAGCUAAUACCGCAUAAAAUUGAUUAUUGCAUGAUAAUUAAUUGAAAGAUGCAAUUGCAUCACUACCAGAUGGACCUGCGUUGUAUUAGCUAGUUGGUGAGGUAACGGCUCACCAAGGCGACGAUACAUAGCCGACCUGAGAGGGUGAUCGGCCACACUGGGACUGAGACACGGCCCAGACUCCUACGGGAGGCAGCAGUAGGGAAUCUUCGGCAAUGGGGGGAACCCUGACCGAGCAACGCCGCGUGAGUGAAGAAGGUUUUCGGAUCGUAAAGCUCUGUUGUAAGAGAAGAACGGGUGUGAGAGUGGAAAGUUCACACUGUGACGGUAUCUUACCAGAAAGGGACGGCUAACUACGUGCCAGCAGCCGCGGUAAUACGUAGGUCCCGAGCGUUGUCCGGAUUUAUUGGGCGUAAAGCGAGCGCAGGCGGUUAGAUAAGUCUGAAGUUAAAGGCUGUGGCUUAACCAUAGUAUGCUUUGGAAACUGUUUAACUUGAGUGCAGAAGGGGAGAGUGGAAUUCCAUGUGUAGCGGUGAAAUGCGUAGAUAUAUGGAGGAACACCGGUGGCGAAAGCGGCUCUCUGGUCUGUAACUGACGCUGAGGCUCGAAAGCGUGGGGAGCAAACAGGAUUAGAUACCCUGGUAGUCCACGCCGUAAACGAUGAGUGCUAGGUGUUAGGCCCUUUCCGGGGCUUAGUGCCGCGGCUAACGCAUUAAGCACUCCGCCUGGGGAGUACGACCGCAAGGUUGAAACUCAAAGGAAUUGACGGGGGCCCGCACAAGCGGCGGAGCAUGUGGUUUAAUUCGAAGCACCGCGAAGAACCUUACCAGGUCUUGACAUCCCUCUGACCGCUCUAGAGAUAGAGUUUUCCUUCGGGACAGAGGUGACAGGUGGUGCAUGGUUGUCGUCAGCUCGUGUCGUGAGAUGUUGGGUUAAGUCCCGCAACGAGCGCAACCCCUAUUGUUAGUUGCCAUCAUUGAGUUGGGCACUCUAGCGAGACUGCCGGUAAUAAACCGGAGGAAGGUGGGGAUGACGUCAAAUCAUCAUGCCCCUUAUGACCUGGGCUACACACGUGCUACAAUGGCUGGUACAACGAGUCGCAAGCCGGUGACGGCAAGCUAAUCUCUGAAAGCCAGUCUCAGUUCGGAUUGUAGGCUGCAACUCGCCUACAUGAAGUCGGAAUCGCUAGUAAUCGCGGAUCAGCACGCCGCGGUGAAUACGUUCCCGGGCCU
rnacentral:rRNA from 1 species